AUGAAAUCCUUGAGAGUUUCACUGGUGGUCCUGUGGCUUCAGUUUAAUUGGGUGAGCAGUCAACAGAAGGUGCAGCAGAACCCGGAAUCUCUCAGUGUCCAAGAGGGAGCCAUGGCCUCUCUCAACUGCACUUUCAGUGAUAGUGCAUCAGAUUCCUUCAGCUGGUACAGACAGCGAUCUGGGAAAGGCCUGGAGUUCCUCCUGUUUGUAGUCUCUAGUGGUAAAAAAGAAGGCAGACUCACAGUUCACCUCAACAAAGCCAGUCAGCAUGUUUCCCUGCACAUCAGAGACUCCCAGCCCAGUGACUCAGCUGUCUACCUCUGUGCAGUGAGAACACAGUGCUCCCCAGGCACCUGCAGCCUGCACAAAAACCUAUUGGGCCCUAAUGAGCCUUGA